UACGGAAAAGUAGGCCUAAAAUGUUAUAGUGUCUAAAAACAAUAUUCAGUUAAUGGAAUUACACUUUUUUCCAUUACUGCUUGCUUGAUAUUGCCCUAACAACUUUUUCAUGAAUCAAUUUUGAGCAUUAUGUUUACAACGUAGUUAUUAUAGCACGAAUUAUGAGUCUAAAAUGCCAAAUACUUGCAACUAUUAUGUUAAUCACUGAAAUCUUAGUGUACUAAUUGCUCGCUAUAAGCUAGGUUAUUGCGCCCCUAAACCAACGUACUGACAACGCUACCUCCCCGGAACUCAAACUUUAACCGGGCAUGACUUGGUACAUCCAGUGACCCAGCAAAAAGUAGCCCUGGUACAGCCAGAAGUAGCAACAAAUCGCAAAAGGGGAUCCUUGUCUGACUGGUGGCUGGACCACAAUGACACUUGUUGGAAAAGGAAGGACCAAAGGUGCCAUCGUCGAGGGCCCAGAUAGAUGAAGAGAUUGAAGCCUGGGCUUCACACAAUCCUGUUAGUAACAAAAAAAGAAGGAAAAAAUGCUGUCCCAUUUGUCCAUAUGCCCAGCGCCAGAACCCAUUUAUACAUCUGGGUAGUGAGGAGAUGAAAAGGCCCAAAAGACAAAAAAACAGAGUGAGACAAAAUGUGCCGAGAUGGAGAAUGUCCAGAAAGGCGAUGUGAUGUCACUAUCAGGGGAGGUCCUGUACCCUGCUGAUAUGAUGGGGAGGGUCAGGAUAACCACAGACAGAAAACUGGUUAAUGAUCUCCUGAAGGGGGGUCUUCAGUAAACAGCUGAAAGAACACAGCAUGAGGGGGGCAUCGUGUAAUGCCCUAAAAAAAAAUGGCCAAAUUCCUCGACCCGCACUCGACCAAGACAAGGUGGAUGCCAUAAGAGCUUACGUCAGGAAUAUAUUUCCCCAGUUAACUGAUGCAGAAUUCAACACCUUUGGAAAUGAAUGCAUCAAGAACCAAAGGAAGCCGGGGAAGGAGGAGUAGUGACAUGAGUGAUGCCUGACCCCCAUUCUCCUAGCGAUCCUAAAGUCCGCUUAUUUUACCGCCGACAUCAAAGGAGGUGGAGCGGCAUGGGAUAUUGUUGCUGCUCUGGCCUUUUAGGCUGAACUGAUUAUACAUGUAGUUUACACUACAAAACUGUUCAUAUUAUAUUUUGUUGUUGUCUUGAACUCUGUUGGGUAUAAGACAAAAAUGGUUAUUUUAUAGCAGUUGGAUUGGAAUGCCAUGAUAUCAAAUACAUGCAGCUUUUUUGUUGGUCACCAACUGGUAGCAAUCAUCUUUGACAUCAGCUGGAUUCUGCUCUCUGUUUUCCACAUGAAUUAUAUUGUACACUUCAAUGUAGGAUAGUGUCUUGAAAGAAGUGCUAAUAUACGCCAAUAGAUAAAGUAGAA